CCGUCGCGCAACGGCGAACGCUGGCGGCGUGCCUAAUACAUGCAAGUCGAGCGAAGUUUUCUGGUGCUUGCACUAGAAAACUUAAGCGGCGAACGGGUAGAGUAACACGUAAAGAACCUAGCUCAUAGGCUGGACAACUAUUGGAAACGAUAGCUAAUACCGGAUAACAGCAUUAACUGCAUGGUUGAUGUUUAAAAGUUAGGUUUUUGUCUAACACUAUGAGAUGGCUUUGCGGUGCAUUAGCUAGUUGGUGGGGUAAAGGCCUACCAAGGCGACGAUGCAUAGCCGACCUGAGAGGGUGAUCGGCCACACUGGGACUGAGACACGGCCCAGACUCCUACGGGAGGCAGCAGUAGGGAAUCUUCCGCAAUGGGCGGAAAGCCUGACGGAGCAACGCCGCGUGAGUGAAGAAGGAUUUCGGUUCGUAAAGCUCUGUUGUUAGGGAAGAAUGAUUGUGUAGUAACUAUACACAGUAGAGACGGUACCUAACCAGAAAGCCACGGCUAACUACGUG
rnacentral:rRNA from 1 species